GACGAACGCUGGCGGCGUGCCUAAUACAUGCAAGUAGAACGCAGUUGCGAACGGGUGAGUAACGCGUAGGAAACUGCCGCAAAGCGGGGGAAAACUAUUGGAAACGCUAGCAAAACCCGCAUCCUGUGAGAUGCACUUGAGUUGUAUUGACUAGUUGGUGAGGUAAAGGCUGAACAAGGCGACGAUACAGAGCCGAACUGAGAGGGUGGUCUGCCACACUGGGACUGUGGCACGGCCCCGACUGCUACGGGAGGCAGCAGUAGGGAAGCUGCGGCAAUGGACGGAAGUCUGACCGGGCAACGCCGCGUGAGUGCAGAAGGUUUUCGGAUCGUAAAGCUCUGUUGUUUGAGAAGCGGUAACUAACCAGAAAGGGACGGCUAACUACGUGCCAGCAGCCGCGGUAAUAC
rnacentral:rRNA from 1 species